CCUCUAUCCUCUCCCCUCUCUGCCGGCCUGCACACACUCAGAGAAGUGCGAAAUCUUGCGCGUUGUGCCAAGUGCCUGUGAUGCAUAAUUACAGAGGGGGCGCUUGAUUUGGCAUGUCUUCCUCCUCAUCUGGUGGCCUGCUGCUUAAGGCACAUUCCCCCAUUGUAAUUAGGCGCCUGAUAAUAAGCAUACAUUCUUGUACAUGAGCUUUGUGGGCAGACUGCUGAAUGGGCCUGUGAACAAGAGAGGGCGCUGCUAGUCUGUUGAUUGGGAGAUAUCCCUCUGAAUGCACUAUUUUGUCAAACCCCCUUUAUAAUAAUUGUGAUAGACGGACAGGUAGAUAGAUUGACGCCUUUAUUUAUGAUGAUUUUCUGCUCACAGGAUAAAAAAAAAAAAGUUUAAUACUUGCUUAAAAGUUGGUAUUUUUAAAGGUGCUUUUAAUCUGACAAACUAGCCUUAUAUUUGAAUAUAGUAGAAUUUAAACUAUGCCUAUGUCCCCGUGUGCUCAGUCAGCUUUAGACCAGAAGGAUGCUGCGGAUGUGUUGUUUGACCUGUGAGCAGGUAGCCAGCAGGGUCAGUAAUAGUAGAAGCUUGAAAUGGGCAGUAAGCUCAGGAACACAACAAAGUCUGUUUGUUGCCAGUCCUGUUGGACGCUUAUUGAGCUUUGUUUUUAUUUCCCCAACAACUUGCAGUCAUUCAAAAAAAAAAAACAAAAAAAAAAAAAGUGCGGAAGUAAUAAAUUUGUUAAACAGUAACUAGUUCCCUGAUCUGUGCACCUGGUGGGGCUAAUUACAUUUCCCCAAUCCCCCACUGUUGCCUCUCUGUGGGGGGGAAUCCAUUACCUGAAAAAAAACAAAAAAAAACAUUGUGCAGCUUAGAAAUUCAGUGUGAUUAUAUUUCUGCCAUCGGUUUUGUUGCGAUAAGCGUUUCUUUUGUUGCCUCCCGGUUUUACUGCAGAAUCUUUGCUGGUGUUGAUCACCGCAGUUGCAUAGAUUCAUUGCAACAGUAAACACCUGUUUCCUAAUCUACAUGUUUUCGCAUAUUGUUUUUGCUUACAAAGCCAAACAAUGCUUUGGUUUCCAUAAAACCAAGCUAAUUUGCUUUUAUAGAGAAUACGCUUUUGUUGCAGAAACUGCAUAAGCUUUUAGAGCUUUGCAACACUAGAAUUAUUUAUUUAUUUUUUUGGACUAUUGUGAUAGAUCUGCAGUGAUAUUCAAUUUCAAAAAGUUUGAAUGGAAUUUUUAAUUAUCAUCUCCUUUAAUAUUUUCUUUUUAUACCUGUCAACGUUAAUGUCAGGCUCAUGAGACUUUUCUAAUGUUCAUAAUAUGAAGUUUAAAAAUGGUACUUUUUUUUUUUUUUUUUUACAUGGUUGAUAAAACACUUAGAAAGAUCCAACGUUGAGGGAUUCUGCGUUUACGCAUGGGCUGUAUAGGUUGCUGUGUGUGUGUCAAACUUACAAUGAAUCAUUUUAUUCCCUCGGUGUCUCCCCAGAAACCACCAAAGAGCGGCUUUCACAUGGAGCUUGUCUCCGUUUCAUUUCCUUCUCAGAGGUCACAUUGUAAUGAAUUACCUGUGCCACCACUCCUGGGGUGGAGCAGCCAGAUGCUGGUGGAAAUGAGAGAGGGGACUGUGCGUCUGGUGUGCACACAAGAGUGAGGACGCUCGUCCGGUGGAGGAUGUUUCUAAUGAGAGGCUCGCAGGCGUCACUUCCGCCGCUGCCUGAGGAAGGUGUGCCGCGCGAUCGUUCUGAUGCGGACCACCACAGAGACCCUUUUUGUUAAGUGUUACUGGGUCAUUUGGCCUGCGCUUAUUCCCUACAGCCACGAAUCCAAUCACAAUUAGCAUGUAGUAAUUUAAAUUUCACUGAAAAAAAUCACACAACAUACACACACACACACAGUGAAAAAAAAUUGAAAAGUCCUACCUUCAACAUCCAAAAAUGCGCUUGACUUAUGCUUGCCGUUUUUUUUAAGCAUUCAGUAACUUUUUGUAAGUGACCUGUGACCUCCUGUUUGUCUGGUGUGGAGUACAUAUGACUUGAAAAGGAGGAUUAUUUCCUUUAACCUCUUCUCAAAAUGGGAAAGACAUGAGAACCUUCCAUUCAAAUACUACAUUUAUUAUUAAAAGGCAAAAAGGAAAACGAAUCUACACCUCAGCUCACUGUGAGCGAUUUGUUUCAAGGCUUUUGCACGCGUGUUUGCAAAGGGUGACGAUAAUUGUUAAGGGGACGGGAUGCCGUCAGACAGAACAGAAAGCACAAACAGAAACUCACUGAAGUGGUGCAAAAAGGUCCAGUCAAAAUUUAGAUCAAACUGGGACAAUUAUGGUUGAGGCCAGAUAGGAACAAUCAUUAAUAUCGCUUCGUUAAGCCCUCGUGCACGAAUUGAUUGUCAAGUGCGAAUGGCCUGUAAAUGUUUGUGAUAAAUAAUAAAAAUCUGCUUUAGAUUAAAAUAGCUGCUCUGUUGGGUGUCAUUAUAUAUUUUUUCUUUAUGCCGAUGUUGUAAGCCCUACAACAUCGGCACAUAUGUGUAGACAUAAGUACAGAUUACACUGACUUACACUAACUCUUUGUUUCCUAGAAGCCUUCUAAUCGUUGCCCACCAUGGUGGACCACCUGUGUAGUUUGAUUAGAGGGGUUCCCAUCUCCAAUUGAGGCACCUUCCUCCUGAUCCUUGACUCAUGGUGGCCCUAAAAGAACACUAGAGGCUGUGGGGGAGGGGGAUGUGGUCCCUGCAGGCCUUCUUUUGCAGUCCCCACCUGAGGCUUUUGUGAUUUACAGUGUGUGGGAACGGACCGAUCCACUGCUGUUUGAGCUGGCCGCCAAUCCACAGCUUGAGACUCAUUAGGGAUUUUUGGAGGGAUUUCUUGUGCACUCUUGCACACACGCAUGCCAUUACUGCAAAGCUCUGAGCAGUCUCAGGGUUGCCUCUGGCUUUUGGCAUGGGACUAGUGUCAUAAUGAAUGCGUGCCUCCAACUCUUUGUUUUCAUGACAUCGUUGGAAAGUAGAGUAAAAUGUGCUGUCCUUCACACCAGGGAUAAAUCUACGAUUAAUGAAACGCUUGCACAUGGCCUUCAGAGAACCAUCUGUAGUCUCAGGUUAAGACCUGUAUAGUUUCAAGAAACUGCAAUUAGAAAUUUGAAAGAUCUUCAACGCCAGCACUAACAUUGCUUUAAUAAUGGCCUCAAAAAACUUGUACCAAGCUAAUAGACAGAUUAGUUUUUUUUUUGUUUUGUUUUUCUCAAAAGCUGGGUUCAAUCCCAGUCACUAAACCCUGCAGGAUUACUAUUUUAACUGGUAUUAUCAAGAAAUCACUUAAAUAGCGUAUGCUAAAAGAUCUAAAAAAAAAAAAAAAAAAUUAAAAAAAAAAGCAACACCACAUGUCCCAAUUUGAAAACAAAAAUGCAGGAACAGAUGGGAAGCAAAGUGUGGAAAGAGUUACAAAACCAUUUCUAAGUCUUUGGGACUCAAACCCACAGUGAGAGCCAUUAUCCACAAAUGCAACAAUGGUGGAUCAUCCCAAGGACACACAUCCAGCAGGUCACAAAAAAAUCACAAUACAGGGCAAAAAAGGAUUUCCAUUGAAGAGCCCAAAGGCAAAAAAA